AACCUCCGCAAUGUGAGAAAUCGCGACGGGGGGAUCCCAAGUGCCAUUCUUAACGGGAUGGCUUUUCAUUAGUGUAAAAAGCUUUUGGAAUAAGAGCUGGGCAAGACCGGUGCCAGCCGCCGCGGUAACACCGGCAGCUCUAGUGGUAGCAAUUUUUAUUGGGCCUAAAGCGUCCGUAGCCGGUUUAAUAAGUCUCUGGUGAAAUCCUGUAGCUUAACUGUGGGAAUUGCUGGAGAUACUAUUAGACUUGAGACCGGGAGAGGUUAGAGGUACUCCCAGGGUAGAGGUGAAAUUCUGUAAUCCUGGGAGGACCGCCUGUUGCGAAGGCGUCUAACUGGAACGGUUCUGACGGUGAGGGACGAAAGUUAGGGGCGCGAACCGGAUUAGAUACCCGGGUAGUCCUAACUGUAAACGAUGCGGACUUGGUGUUGGGGUGGCUUUGAGCUGCUCCAGUGCCGAAGGGAAGCUGUUAAGUCCGCCGCCUGGGAAGUACGGUCGCAAGACUGAAACUUAAAGGAAGU
rnacentral:rRNA from 1 species